AGCAGCCGCGGUAAUUCCAGCUCCAAUAGCGUAUAUUAAAGUUGUUGCAGUUAAAAAGCUCGUAGUUGAAUUUCGGGAUCAGUUGGUCGGUCGUGCCUCGGUACGUACUGGUCAAAUUGAUUCCUACCUUCUGACGAACCACGAUGUCAUUAAUUUGGUGUCGCGGGAAAUCAGGACUGUUACUUUGAAAAAAUUAGAGUGUUUAAAGCAGGCUCGCGCUUGAAUACAUUAGCAUGGAAUAAUGAAAUAGGAUGUUUGAUUCUAUUUUGUUGGUUUCUAGGAUCGACGUAAUGAUUAAUAGGGAUAGUUGGGGGCAUUAGUAUUCAAUUGUCAGAGGUGAAAUUCUUGGAUUUAUUGAAGACUAACUACUGCGAAAGCAUUUGCCAAGGAUGUUUUCAUUAAUCAAGAACGAAAGUUAGGGGAUCGAAGACGAUCAGAUACCGUCGUAGUCUUAACCAUAAACUAUGCCGACUAGGGAUCGGAUGAUGUUAAUUUUUUAAUGACUCAUUCGGCGCCUUACG
rnacentral:rRNA from 1 species